UCUCUCUCUCUCUCUCUCUCUCGAAUUGCUAGCCGAAUAGGACGUGAAACAUCCAAUGAAAGAAAACUGGGGGAUUUUUUUACAAGAAGAAAAAGGGAAUUGCCAUAUUUAAAGCAAAGUUGGGCAUUGGGAUUUGCAUAGUGACUGGCAGGUGUAGGUUGCUCUUGCAGUAGCAAGUCAAAGGCCACUGUCUACUCCCACGUUACGUUUCACCGACCACUCUUUUCAACCUUCAAGUGCACAGGAAUGGAUAAAUAAAAACCCAAAACUUCCAUAUCAAGGGCACCUUUGAUUCGCGCUUUCGCCUCACUCUGUGCCUUCUUACCACAAUUUCACUGUCAAAAUUCAUGUCCUCCUCUUCCCUACUGUGAGCCUCUCUCUGCACCUCCCUACUACUGGUGGUGUUUUGUUUGAUUGCAAAGAGGGAAAUGAGAGAGAUCUUCAAGAUUUGGUUUCACAUGGUUAAUGUAUAUGCGAAUGAUAUCCGUAUCCAUUUUGAAUUUGACCCAUAAGGGGAAAAAAUUUGUAGAAUAGCUGCCAUUAUUUUGAGCACAGCAAUCCCUAGAGAAUGAGAAAGCAUAAAAAAUUGAACCGAUGGAUGUGAACG
rnacentral:misc_RNA from 1 species